rnacentral:rRNA from 1 species
AUUGAACGCUGGCGGCAGGCCUAACACAUGCAAGUCGAACGAGUGGCGGACGGGUGAGUAAUGUCUGGGAAACUGCCUGAUGGAGGGGGAUCACUACUGGAAACGGUCGCUAAUACCGCAUACCAUCAGAUGUGCCCAGAUGGGAUUAGCUAGGUGGUGGGGUAACGGCUCACCAAGGCGACGAUCCCUAGCUGGUCUGCGAGGAUGACCAGCCACACUGGAACUGAGACACGGUCCAGACGCCUACGGGAGGCAGCAGUGGGGAAUACUGCACAAUGGGCGAAAGCCUGAUGCAGCCAUGCCGCGUGUAUGAAGAAGGCCUGCGUGUUGUAAAGUACUUUCAGCGGGGAGGCGUUACGCGGAGAAGAAGCACCGGCUAACUCCGUCCCAGCAGCCGCGGUAAUAG